rnacentral:rRNA from 1 species
AGCAGCCGCCGCGGUAAUACGUAGGUGGCAAGCGUUAUCCGGAAUUAUUGGGCGUAAAGCGCGCGUAGGCGGUUUCUUAAGUCUGAUGUGAAAGCCCACGGCUCAACCGUGGAGGGUCAUUGGAAACUGGGAAACUUGAGUGCAGAAGAGGAAAGUGGAAUUCCAUGUGUAGCGGUGAAAUGCGCAGAGAUAUGGAGGAGCACCAGUGGCGAAGGCGACUUUCUGGUCUGUAACUGACGCUGAUGUGCGAAAGCGUGGGGAUCAAACAGGAUUAGAUACCCCUGUAGUCCCUGUCUCUUAUAC